CAGCAGCCGCGGGAAAACGUAGGUGGCAAGCGUUGUCCGGAAUUAUUGAGCGUAAAGGGCUCGCAGGCGGUUUCUUAAGUCUGAUGUGAAAGCCCCCGGCUCAACCGGGGAGGGUCAUUGGAAACUGGGAAACUUGAGUGCAGAAGAGGAGAGUGGAAUUCCACGUGUAGCGGUGAAAUGCGUAGAGAUGUGGAGGAACACCAGUGGCGAAGGCGACUCUCUGGUCUGUAACUGACGCUGAGGAGCGAAAGCGUGGGGAGCGAACAGGAUUAGAUACCCGCGUAGUCCCUGUCUCUUAUAC
rnacentral:rRNA from 1 species